GGACUCGUAGCUCAGCGGGAGAGCAUUCGCUUCACACGCGAAGGGUCACAGGUUCAAUCCCUGUCGGGUCCACCA
rnacentral:tRNA from 6 species